rnacentral:rRNA from 1 species
UAAGAAGAGAGAAUGCCGGAAUGAGUAGCGAGAGAGAGGUGAGAAUCCUCUCGGCCGAAUAUCCAAGGUUUCCAGAGUAAAGCUGAUCUGCUCUGGGUAAGUCGGGACCUAAGGAGAGGUCGAAAGACGUAUCCGAUGGACAACAGGUUUAGAUUCCUGUACCACAUAUGAACAGAACUGUGGGGACGCAUGUGGAGAGCACGAGCCGGGAAUGGAAAUACCGGUACAAGCGGAGAAGGAGUCUGGUUGGCAAAUCCGCCAGGCAAUCCGAAGACGUGAUGUGGAGCGAAUUAGAGUAGCGAAGCGUGUGAGCCAUGUGCCGAGAAAAGCCGCUAUUGUUUCAUGUGUGCCCGUACCGUAAACCGACACAGGUGGAUGAGGAGAGAAUCCUAAGGCCGGCGGAAGAAGCAUUGUUAAGGAACUCGGCAAAAUGACCCCGUAACUUCGGGAGAAGGGGUGCCUGCUAACGCAGGCCGCAGAGAAUAGGCUCAAGCAACUGUUUAGCAAAAACACAGGUCUAUGCGAAACCGAAAGGUGAAGUAUAUGGGCUGACGCCUGCCCGGUGCUGGAAGGUUAAGAGGAGAGGUUAGCGCAAGCGAAGCUUUGAAUUUAAGCCCCAGUAAACGGCGGCCGUAACAAUAACGGUCCUAAGGUAGCGAAAUUCCUUGUCGGGUAAGUUCCGACCCGCACGAAAGGCGUAAUGAUUUGAGCACUGUCUCGACAAUGCAUCCGGUGAAAUUGAAGUACCAGUGAAGAUGCUGGUUACCCGCGCCAGGACGGAAAGACCCCAUGGAGCUUUACUCCAGUUUGGUACUGGGAUUCGGUACUGCAUGUACAGGAUAGGUGGGAGGCUAAGAACUUGGGACGCCAGUUUCAAGGGAGUCGCUGUUGGGAUACCACCCUUGCAGUAUUGGAUUUCUAACCAGCCGCCGUGAUCCGGCGGUGGGACAAUGCCAGGCGGGGAGUUUGACUGGGGCGGUCGCCUCCGAAAGGGUAUCGGAGGCGCUCAAAGGUUCCCUCAGAAUGGUUGGAAACCAUUUGAAGAGUGCAAAGGCAGAAGGGAGCUUGACUGCGACACCGACGGGUGGAGCAGGUAGGAAACUAGGACUUAGUGAUCCGGUGGCAUAAAGUGGGAUUGCCAUCGCUCAACGGAUAAAAGCUACCCUGGGAUAACAUGCUUAUCACUCCCAAGAGUUCACAUCGACGGAGUGGUUUGGCACCUCGAUGUCGGCUCAUCGCAUCCUGGGGCUGUAGCAGGUCCCAAGGGUUGGGCUGUUCGCCCAUUAAAGCGGUACGCGAGCUGGGUUCAGAACGUCGUGAGACAGUUCGGUCCCUAUCCGGCGCGGGCGGAGGAUAUUUGAGAGGAGCUGUCCUUAGUACGAGAGGACCGGGAUGGACGGACCACUGGUGUAUCUGCUGUCGACCAACGGCAUGGCAGAGUAGCCAAGUCCGGAAGGGAUAAACGCUGAAGGCAUCUAAGCGUGAAGCCCCCCUCAAGAUGAGAUAUCCCUCACAUAAGUGAGUAAGAUCCCUUGAAGACUACAAGGUAGAUAGGGCAGAGGUGGAAGCACGGUAACGUGUGGAGCUGACUGUUACUAAUCGAUCGAGGGCUUGACC